AUUGAACGCUGGCGGCAUGCUUUACACAUGCAAGUCGAACGGUAACAGGGAGCUUGCUCCGCUGACGAGUGGCGAACGGGUGAGUAAUGCGUCGGAACGUGCCGAGUAGUGGGGGAUAACGCAUCGAAAGGUGUGCUAAUACAGCAUACGUACUGAGGUAGAAAGUGGGGGACCUUCGGGCCUCACGCUAUUCGAGCGGCCCACGUCGGAUUAGCUAGUUGGUGAGGUAAAGGCUCACCAAGGCGACGAUCAGUAGCGGGUCUGAGAGGAUGAUCCGCCACACUGGGACUGAGACACGGCCCAGACUCCUACGGGAGGCAGCAGUGGGGAAUUUUGGACAAUGGGCGCAAGCCUGAUCCAGCCAUGCCGCGUGUCUGAAGAAGGCCUUCGGGUUGUAAAGGACUUUUGUCCGGGAGCAAAUGCCUGGUGUUAAUAGCACUGGGAGCUGAGAGUACCGGAAGAAUAAGCACCGGCUAACUACGUGCCAGCAGCAGCCGCGGUAA
rnacentral:rRNA from 1 species